CUUGUUAUGUUCUUACACAGACUUAUUCAUUCCAACAUCAGAUGCAAAUAAUCAUUAUAAGUAGCUGUGUCUGUUGUGGAGAAUAUAUGGAUAAAAAAAUCUUCUGUUCGUUGGAGUUACAAAGUACGUGGUCAAUGAAGUCUAAUUUGAAUGAAUUUAUGGGCAUGCAGAGUGGUGCUCUGCAGCUGGAGGGAGGCACAGAGACAUCCCAUUGGGGGAAGCACUGGCUCCCUAAAGUGAAGGCCUCUUUCUCUUUCCAAGGAUGGACCUAUUCUGACUCUCAGGGGCUUCGUUCUCCCUUUCCUCUCCAUGGACUACAAAUAACUCCCAUUGGAGUCAAUAGUUACUCAAAUACUGUGAAAGUUGAACUGGUCCUCUGCAGGAGUAAAAUUAGCCCCAUAGUGAAUCCCCACAGCCACUGAAUUUUAAAGUAUAGGUGGAGAAAAAAGGAGAGAGAGGACAGAAUGGCUGUUCUUAUCUGUGCAUGGAUAAAGAAACUUUCCUGGCUCUUAACUCCUGUCGGAAAGAAACAGGAAGGAAAAGUUUCCCUCCACUUGUACCACGUGAAUUUUCAAGGGUUUCAAUGUUGUUUGCUUUGGGUUUUAUGCAUCUGCUUACUAGAGCUCAGAUGGAAGGAGAGCCAGAUCCAUCUCCCCUCCACCAAACACUUGUUUCCACUGAGGAAAAGCACCAGAGAAUGGCAGGGUAGAGAAAAAGGAAAAAGAGUAAAUGCAAAAUCUUCAGGUGACUAUUUUCUGCUUUACUUACAGUCUAGGCAGACUUCCAAGCCAACAUCUUCUGAGCCUUAGCCUGCUGCCAAGUCACAUCCCAGACAACAGAGCAACACUGCCAUCUAGUGCCAUCCUCUUCCUUGAUACCCAGAUUUUUUUCUCUUUCUUCUUUUUUUCCCCUCUCCCCCUAAAAGGUUUUUAUCCCAUCAAGGAAAAACUGGCUCUUGGAAAACAACCAACUCUGUUGGAACUCGGAGAUAAUAAUCAGUUUCUCUGGGCUUGUGAAAUUGGCUCAUUAAGCGUGCUUUUUAACAGAAAAUAUUGGAAGCGAUUAAAUCUGCUUUACUGAGUGGGCAUGAAAUGGCUAACCUUCGGCCACCCACAGCUCCUAGGUGCCUGGCGUCGUUUUAUGCAUGCAGCGUAAUGUCUUUACUUGAAGUGCUGUUUAUUCAUCACCUGCUUAUUUAUCUCUUUGCAUUUGGCAGGCACAUCGAUCAAUGUUAAACUGUCACACAAGGUUAUUUUUCUUUUACAUAACAGUACAGGCCUAGGGUACUGGCAUAUUAAAAGUAAUAACUUUCUAACUUGUAGCUCAAAAUGACAGCACCAUUUUUGCCUGAAUAUAUUACAGCUAGAAAUUCUUAAUAUAUAUAUUUUAAGUAUUAAUGCUCUUCCAAGGUCAAAGGUUGUGAGACUUCAUUCCAUGUGUUGCUAUAAUUGUGGAUGUGUGUGAAUGUGUAUAACUAGUGAAUGACUUCUCAUCACAAAACAAAUCCUCUCCUAACCUGCUUGAAAGAAUUUUCAGAUUUUUACAGAUUCAGACUAACACGGCUACCCCUCUGAUACUUAACCUGCUUGAGUUAUCUUUAGGCCCUUCGGAGCUGAUAAACCUGCACAGAGCAUAUUUUACAUAUGCAACUGUACAUCCAACCUGAUUUAUCUUAUGACAAUCAGGCAUGCUUGGGAAUGGAUUUACUCAUCCUAGUGUUUGGGGAAGGACAUAGACAAUUGUAUGCCUGUAUUCCCCGUGCAAGCCAUGCUGCUUUGGUGGAAGUUUUGUUGUAGGCAUCCUCUGGUUUAUGUAUGCUGCCUGGAUAGAGCUACCAUGCACACCGAUAGCCUGCAGCUCUGGCUGAAUAAACAGGGGAGUGGUAUAGCUACA
rnacentral:lncRNA from 1 species